CCACACGGUUCCUCAAUUCCCAAAUAUCAAAAUUAUUCCCUAAUUCCUAAUCUCAAUUUAUCCCAAAAGGUCACACGUUAAAAAAUAAAAGAAGCAAAACCCUAGUUCUUAUUUUGAUUUGUUCUUGUCUCUUGUUCUAAAAGCUAAAGCUAAUCUUGACAUCUUGUCUCCAUUUACUCUCUGACUGCUUGUGCAAUGCUAUUUUCCAAUUUCUCCAAGUUUCAGGAUUAUGUCAAGUGAAGAACUGGGCAGUGGGCAAGCACUUCCGUUUGAUCUCAAAGUUAAAAUUAUCAAAAGUUGCAGAAGAACUGUUAAGUGUUCAUUUUAUUUUAAUCGAACUUGAAAGGGGUGUGAUUCCUCUAUUUUAUUAUGUUUGAAAGGGUGUGAUUCCCUUAUUUUCUUGAAUACAGAAGGGGUGUGAUUCCUCUUGUUUAUUAUGAAUUAAAAAGUGUGAUUCCUUUA